ACACCGGCGGCCCGAGUGGUGAUCGUGAUUAUUGGGUCUAAAGGGUCCGUAGCCGGUUUGGUCCGUCCUCCGGGAAAUCUGAUAGCUCAACUAUUAGGCUUUCGGGGGAUACUGCCAGACUUGGAACCGGGAGAGGUAAGCGGUACUACAGGGGUAGGAGUGAAAUCUUGUAAUCCCUGUGGGACCACCUGUGGCGAAGGCGUCUUACCAGAACGGGUUCGACGGUGAGGGACGAAAGCUGGGGGCACGAACCGGAUUAGAUACCCGGGUAGUCCCAGCCGUAAACGAUGCUCGCUAGGUGUCAGGCAUGGCGCGACCGUGUCUGGUGCCGCAGGGAAGCCGUGAAGCGAGCCACCUGGGAAGUACGGCCGCAAGGCUGAAACUUAAAGGAAUUGGCGGGG
rnacentral:rRNA from 1 species